UACGUAGGGUGCGAGCGUUAAUCGGAAUUACUGGGCGUAAAGGGUGCGCAGGCGGUUUUUUAAGUCAGCUGUGAAAUACCUGGGCUUAACCUAGGGACUGCAGUUGAGACUGGAAGGCUAGAGUGAGUCAGAGGGGGGUAGAAUUCCACGUGUAGCAGUGAAAUGCGUAGAGAUGUGGAGGAAUACCGAUGGCGAAGGCAGCCCCCUGGGAUAACACUGACGCUCAUGCACGAAAGCGUGGGGAGCAAACAGG
rnacentral:rRNA from 1 species